AUUUACGGCGCCGGCGGGCGCGCACGAGGAGAACGCAGUCUCGCAGCCGCUCUGUCUCUCUCAUGGGCUCCAGCUCUGCCCAACUGAGGCGGCCGUGCCCCCCUGCGGCCGGGCGUGAGGCCCGUGCACAAACCCUGCCCCGCGCGCCCCGGCGGGGACGCGGAGCGUACAUGCGAGUCAGCGUGGCUUGUCGUGUAACUUCCAGGCACUCCGGACUUAUGCAGCGUUAUGAUGGGUGCCCACACCAGAUGAUGUGUGUAAAUGUAAAAUGUUUCUCCAGUGACCACUUGACAGCAACCAAAGGUUUACUAACAGACAACUCCUAGCCUUCCUGUUAAGAGAGUGUCAUUAGUCUCUGUAACAGUAAGUAAACCCACUGCUUCUCCUGCUUAUCAGACAUGCUUCCUUCCUGUGACAUGAAUUAUAUCACCACACUGAUGGGAAGAAGAGUAAAGGGAUUUUUUUUUUAAUGGUUGUUUUAUCUAUCACUUUCACUGAAGCAGAAAUUCUAGACUGAUUCACAAAUGGAAACCCCAAACACCAUGCAGCAAAGCGUUCAUCUAUGGACAGGAAAUAGUAUGGGUUUUAUAGGCUAGAGUCAAGGUUAUGUCACUUCUAAGUAUACUUUAAAAGUCUGCACAGACACCUUCCUCAAUAUUCAGCUGACAAAGCUAGCCACACAUAAUAUACUUUAUCAUAUAUAGGUUGUGCCAGCAAAGUUCAAUUUAUAUACAAUCCUGUAGAUCAGACUUGCUACUAUAAUACUUAGAACGUUUAGCAGUGUUGUCACCAAACCACAUAAGAACAGAAGGAAAGUAAGGGAAGGAAGGGGAAUAAAAAGUAGCAUCUCAAAUUACAUAACAGGAGAAUACAUGGGCUACUGCAAAUAGCUGCAAACGUAGGGGAGACCAGCAGCUAUUAUAGAAGGAACAAGCAGACAAUGCAGAAAGAACAGAAAGAUGUGGUGGCUGUAGAAUAGGCUGUUUUAAUUGUGUUCUUAAAAAAGGGUGUGCUUUUUGUAGGGCUUGGCAUAACUACAUGAAUAUGACUGUAAACAUUCACAGACAUUAAUACAAAACAUCAGUGAGCAGGAGCAGGACUUUUUCUCUAAUUAACUCUCUUCAGGUAUAAUAUUUGAUCUCUGUUACACUGUAGACAUUUUGAGAAGCUUGAUUUUGUCUUUCUGUUGAUUUUUUUUUUUUUAUCUUUGAAAGCUAAAAUUAUCUUUUAAAAAUAUGAUCAAUUUAAAUUAGACCCAACAUUAUCUGAAAGAAAUGAAUGGACAAAUAGCCACAUCUGCUACUGAAAUGAAUAUUUGUAUCUUUGGAUAAGUUUGAACCAAGCAUUUUGAUUUUUCAUUAGACUCAAAGAAAAGAGGAAAUCCAUGCUAACCAAAUGUAGAUGAACUGUAACCUUCAUUGUGAACGUAAAAGGGAAAAUCCCAAACUUACUUGGCAACCUGCACGUAUAAUUUGUGUGAACAAACAAGACUGCAGUUCGUAGUACUCCUCACGUGAAUCACCAUCUGAACAUAGAAAAGAUCUUCACUAUGUACCUUCAUCAGAAUAAAACGUAAGUGUAAUGUAGACCACAUCCAUAGGGUAUAGCUUUUUACAGCUAGAAUACGUCAAGCACUUUUUUAGCCAUUUAUAGGUAUGAAACAUUUUUUUUUUCUGAUGGCGUAAUACCCUGCUGCAAAAGGAGAGGUCUGAAUCUGAUGAAGAACUUUCUGUUGCUUCCUUAACAAAUGGGUCUUUUCCUUUCUGUUCUCCUUUCUGGUUCCCUGUUCACAUUACAAUUAUCCCAGGCUCCAGAACGUACUUUCAGUUUUAAAACUCUCUGUAAAUCAAUAUCCUUAUGAAGAGCUUCUGCAAAUAGUGUGAUCAACCUGGAUGAUCAACAUGUAAUUUUGUUAGUGAGACGUAAGCCAGUGCUUUAAUGUUGUUCCUUUCAAUACAUGAUUCAGCAAUGACAUUAAUUCUGCAAAUAUAUCAGUAGGUUGGAUUUAUUUAACUUGGGUCACUCAUUUUGCUCACUUCUUUUGCUUAGGGUUCUCAGCUGCCUGUGAACUUUAUUCAUACAAAACUCUAUAGUAGAUGCCUUGAUUAAACUAUUAAACAGAAGAAUGAUGCACAACAUCCUUUGGUAACAGUACUGGGAAAUAAAGUGAUGAAAUAUAUGCAGGAGGAAGAAGCAGCCCUGGCACUGGUUCAAAAUCUGCUGUUACUCAUGGACCCAGUGCACAGGCUGAAGAUACACCUGGUUGUGGGAAAGAACUUGAGGCCACAAGGACCCUGUGGGGCUCCCAGCUCUUCCAGGGAAGAACAGCACAACCUUGGGCUUAGGUUGCUGUUGCAAGCACACAAUACUGCUGUAAAUUCAGCUGUCUUUCAUUUUACACUCUGCAUAGACAUUACAUAAUUAAUAAGCCAAUAAACUUAAGUGCAGAAACUGGAUUAAGUUUGCAAAGCAGAACAGUAUUACUGCUUACAGAUGAGGAACGCUCAGUAGGUCUUGAACUACUGAAAAUCUGGAGCCAUUUUCUGGACAGAUGUUUACAAGAGUAAGUGCAUAAAGAGGAGGAUUUUAUGCAUGUGACUAGAUCUUUCCUUCUAGAAGAAAGUACCUGUGGGACAGAAUCCUUAGGAGGGUUCUGCUGGGAUGGACUAUCUUAGGCAAGGUGGCUGAACUUUUCUCCCAUUUCUGAGGCAACACAGGAGAGAGGCUUUUGCCUCACGCCUGACCUCAGCUAGCUCAUUUUCAUUCCAGCCUCAGCUCAGCUACAUAUUUAAAAGAUGUAAAAUGCAAUUUCAGUCUCCAACCAUCUUAAGCUAUAAUGAAAUUUUUCCAGAGUGAAUGCUGUUCAUCUCCAGUAUAUUCAACCUUCUCCAUUACACCUCUACUCAGCCUGAAUUACACUGUGGCAUUCAGGGGAAGAAGGAAUGUGAGUGGGUGGAUGAAGAUACUCAAGAUAACUUCCUUUCUUAAGGGUGACAGAAGGAAUCCUAUCAAGGACAGUAUCCAAAAAGCAUAUCGCAAAGUGUCCCGAAGCUUUCAUUUUCCUUGUCAGGGAGUGCACCUGAUUUACUUUGCAUGAUGACUCAGUUUUUACAGGACCGUAAGAAACUUUGAACACCGCAUUUAGGCUGUAGGUGGCUUCUGCAAGCGCUGAAAAUUCUCUUGGGAACAACCUAAUGCAAACUUCUGAAGAAGGCAGAGGCUCUCUCCUCCUGUCGACCUUGAGUUUCUAGCCUAAGACAAUGACAUGAGAGGGUCCUUUGGAAAAAUUAACUACACAGUUUCUCCAAUUCUAUCUUGGCAGUGGUCAGUAAUGUAUAAUUAAACCAGUAAAACUAAACAAGAAAAAAAUAUUUUAGACUUUUCACAUAAAGUCUGCUGAUAAAUACACAGAUCCAGCUGAGUGAAUAAAUCGAUCUCCUAAGGUGAAAAAAUAGGAAUGCCAAAGUGAGAGAGUUAGCAAAUGGAUGGAGCCUUUUAUUAUCUGAAGAUGCUCUUUCACUGGGAAGCACUGUGAAAAAAAACUCCUUGCUGGAUGCCAGGCAUCCAUAGAGCAUUUACAUUUCUACAGCUUGGCACUUCUAUGAAACUUCAGGGGAAGUGAGCACAUUUUCCUGUAUAUUUCUCACUAAUGUUGUCAUAAUUAUUCUUUUUGCUUAAAAAAAAAAAAAAAAAAGUUGAAGAUAAAAUAAAUCGAUGUUUUUCUUGCAGUAAGUUAUGCCAUGUGGACAUGGAACUAAUUGUUCAGCCUGACUUAUUCUGUCACUUAGCAGAAGCAAUAUUCAAGAUGAAGGAUAAAGAUACUGCAUCACCAAAAAAAUCCAAACAAUUCCUUCAAUUGCAAAUAACCCUCCAGUUAAUUUCCAGUGGGGGUGGCACGUUAAACCAAUACAUUUUAAAAUCUGCUCUCUAAAACAAUGUAUAAAACAAGCAAACUCUGUUUUGCUUUUCCUCCAUACAAAGCAGGCAAUCAUUACUGGAAGUUGGCUGAGCCAUAUUUUAAGAUAUAAAACAUUUUUAGAAUUGAUGUUGGCAGAGCUGAUGAUUUGGAAUAGUAAAGAAAUGAAGACUGGGAAAACUAAUUUGUUACAUGCAUUUGAAAAGGAGGACUAAUGAAGUAGUGAUAAGCAAACAAUAAAACAACUGACAGGAAGAUUACCACUAGACUUUAGAUUUGGCCAGCAAAGAGGAGAGAUGCUGUAAGUACACUGGAUAUUGAAGAAGGUGGAGAAUACCACAAAGACAGAACAUCACUAUCGUUUUUUAUUAGCCAAAUCUGUUUAGAGGAAAAAACAACACCAAAAAACAAAACAGCAGCCAGAAUCUGAUACAAAAGGAUGACAAUUGACAAAGGGUUGCUAGUUGUAAGCGUGUGGGAGAAAGACAUCUCAGCCCAAGGCUGGUACUUUUCCCUGUCUACAUUCCAUUGAGCGAUGGUGGGCUGCAUUGCACCAUGAUAUUUCUGAACGCAAAACCAUGGCUCGGAGAUUCUACCAAAGAAAGGAGUUGUAGUUCAAGCUGUCUUUUUUCCUAUACUGAUGUUUUCCCGAGAUUCAGAAAACUGAAACACGUGGAGAAGAGCUGUGUGGGCAAGUCCAGCCCUCUUCAAGGGUAGAUCCGCACCUUAAGCAGGCAGUUCUUCACAUCUCCCAUUUUACUGGCACUUUCACACAUCACACUUA
ensembl:lncRNA